GCAAGAUGUGCUUUGUUAAACAAAUGCUUGAAGGCAGCAUGCUCGUUAAGAGUCAUCACCACUCCCUAAUCUCAAGUACCCAGGGACACAAAAACUGCGGAAGGCUGCAGGGACCUCUGCCUAGGAAAGCCAGAGAAUUUCUUAAAGACUUGAGAAGAGUCUUCUCAGUUUGCUGUUUGAUUUAUCCUUCUCAUCACAAGUCACGGACGGAGUCUCUCUGUUGCCCAUGCGAUUCUUCUGCCUCAGCCUCCUAAGUAGCUGGGACUACAGGUGCACGCCCCCAUGCCGAGCUAAGUUUUGUUUUGUUUUGUUUUGUUUUUGACAGAGUCUUGCACUGUUGCCAGGCUGGAGUGCAGUGGCGCAAUCUCGGCUCAAUGCAACCUCUGCCUCCUGGGUUCA